rnacentral:rRNA from 1 species
GAUGAACGCUGGCGGCGUGCUUAACACAUGCAAGUCGAACGGAAAGGCCCAAGCUUGCUUGGGUACUCGAGUGGCGAACGGGUGAGUAACACGUGGGGGAUCUGCCCUGCACUUCGGGAUAAGCCUGGGAAACUGGGUCUCAUACCGGAUAGGAUCACAUUUUGGAUGGUGUGGUGGAAAGUCUUUCGGUUUUGGAUGAGCUCGCGGCCUAUCCGCUUGUUGGUGGGGUAAUGGCCUACCAAGGCGUCGACGGGUAGCCGGCCUGAGAGGGUGUACGGCGACAAUAGGACUGAGGGACGGACCAGACUGCUACGGGAGGCAGCGGUGGGGAAUAUGGCACAAUGGGCGCAAGCCUGAUGCAGCGACGCCGCGUGGGGGAUGACGGCCUUCGGGUUGUAAACUCCUUUCGCUAGGGACGAAGCGCAAGUGACGGUACCUGGAGAAGAAGCACCGGCUAACUACGUG